GAUGAACGCUGGCGGCGUGCCUAAUACAUGCAAGUCGAGCGAACAGACGAGGAGCUUGCUCCUCUGACGUUAGCGGCGGACGGGUGAGUAACACGUGGAUAACCUACCUAUAAGACUGGGAUAACUUCGGGAAACCGGAGCUAAUACCGGAUAAUAUAUUGAACCGCAUGGUUCAAUAGUGAAAGACGGUUUUGCUGUCACUUAUAGAUGGAUCCGCGCCGCAUUAGCUAGUUGGUAAGGUAACGGCUUACCAAGGCGACGAUGCGUAGCCGACCUGAGAGGGUGAUCGGCCACACUGGAACUGAGACACGGUCCAGACUCCUACGGGAGGCAGCAGUAGGGAAUCUUCCGCAAUGGGCGAAAGCCUGACGGAGCAACGCCGCGUGAGGGAUGAAGGUCUUCGGAUCGUAAAACUCUGUUAUUAGGGAAGAACAAAUGUGUAAGUAACUAUGCACGCCUUGACGGUACCUAAUCAGAAAGCCACGGCUAACUACG
rnacentral:rRNA from 1 species